GGCCUCAUAGCUCAGGGGACAGAGCACCGCUCUCCUAAAGCGGGUGUCGCAGGUUCGAAUCCUGCUGGGGCCG
rnacentral:tRNA from 2 species